GUCCACGCCCUAAACGAUGUCGACUAGUCGUUCGGAGAGGUAACUCACUGAGUGACGCAGCUAACGCGUGAAGUCGACCGCCUGGGGAGUACGGCCGCAAGGUUAAAACUCAAAGGAAUUGACGGGGACCCGCACAAGCGGUGGAUGAUGUGGAUUAAUUCGAUGCAACGCGAAAACCUUACCUACCCUUGACAUGCCUGGAAUCCUUGAGAGAUCAGGGAGUGCCUUAGGGAGCCAGGACACAGGUGCUGCAUGGCUGUCGU
rnacentral:rRNA from 1 species